rfam:Medicago truncatula strain A17 chromosome 4, whole genome shotgun sequence.
AACAACUCUAGUUGUCCAGUAUUUGAUUUGUAAAACUGUUUCAGGUACAUGAUAAACUGGAGGCAAGGGACAGGACAA